GAUUCUGACAUUUCUUUCAUUCGGUCAAAAGCGCAGGGGGCAAUCACGUUUUCCUAACGACGCGCUUCGCUCGUUAAUUAACAACAAACAAAAUGUUUCGUGGUUUGAUCAGUUUCCUUGUCGGCGUGUAUGCAGGGUUGUAUGUUUGUCAAAACUAUGAAGUACCAAAAGUCGACGACCCUUCGGCAAUACUCAAGAAGUUAAAAGACUUCGCCGACCGUCAUAAAAAAGACUAACUUACAUACAUACACCCCUAGGAAUUGUACACUAGAAAUAAAUUAUGUCAACAUGA